rnacentral:rRNA from 1 species
CAGCCGCCACGGUAAUACGGAGGGAGCUAGCGUUGUUCGGAAUUACUGGGCGUAAAGCGCACGUAGGCGGUUAUUCAAGUCAGAGGUGAAAGCCCGGGGCUCAACCCCGGAACUGCCUUUGAAACUAGAUGACUAGAAUCUUGGAGAGGUCAGUGGAAUUCCGAGUGUAGAGGUGAAAUUCGUAGAUAUUCGGAAGAACACCAGUGGCGAAGGCGACUGACUGGACAAGUAUUGACGCUGAGGAGCGAAAGCGUGGGGAGCGAACAGGAUUAGAGACCCCGGUAGUCCCUGUCUCUUAUAC